rnacentral:rRNA from 1 species
AUUGAACGCUGGCGGCAUGCCUUACACAUGCAAGUCGAACGGUAGAGGGGGCAACCCCUUGAGAGUGGCGAACGGGUGAGUAAUGCAUCGGAACGUGCCCAGUUGUGGGGGAUAACGUAGCGAAAGCUACGCUAAUACCGCAUACGACCUGAGGGUGAAAGCGGGGGACUCGAAAGAGCCUCGCGCGAUUGGAGCGGCCGAUGUCAGGUUAGCUAGUUGGUGGGGUAAAGGCCCACCAAGGCGACGAUCUGUAGCUGGUCUGAGAGGACGACCAGCCACACUGGGACUGAGACACGGCCCAGACUCCUACGGGAGGCAGCAGUGGGGAAUUUUGGACAAUGGACGAAAGUCUGAUCCAGCCAUGCCGCGUGCGGGAAGAAGGCCUUCGGGCUGUAAACCGCUUUUGUCAGGGAAGAAAUCUUCUGGGUUAAUACCUCGGGAGGAUGACGGUACCUGAAGAAUAAGCACCGGCUAACUACGUGCCAGCCGCCGCCGUAAGAC